rnacentral:lncRNA from 13 species
ACUUGAUUUGAGAAUUACAGAGGAAGAGAUGAAAAGCAAUACCCCUGCCUCAGCCGUGAAGCCUUCACUAUAGAAACAACACACGUGCCGAUGGUCCCCUGGAAUGGCCUCUCUGUUCAGGCCAUCACAGUCCAUUUGGUCCUGCCAACCUGCUGCCCAAGUCCAACAGAUGGAAGGAAGGAAGAGAAUACUGAGAUGCAGAUCUCAGAUUAACAACUUCUUGGCUAUUGGAAACCAGAAGAAAAGAGUCACGUAAAGAGGUUACUUGAGAGAAACAGCAACCUAAGUUAGAGGGGCAGAGCCAGCACAAAUACCACACCACAAGGAGGAACAAAUACCCCAACGACCUUCUUCUCUUUCUACCGCGUCUCAUGCCUGCUUUCCCCUUGGUGUAGUUCAUGCAGAUUGGCUUCUCAGGCGAGAGAACAGGUGGCGUUAUGGUUACAAGGUGGCUGCUGGAACCUCAGCCGGUAUACAUUAAGGCAAGAAGAAAGGAUAGGACAAGAAGAAAGUUUAUUUCAGCUGGAGUAGCCCAGAAUUUUGAAGCUUUUACAAGAGCUACAUGAGAACGGAUCAACUGCAAGAUGUUUGCCUACUUGCGUGGAGGUCACAUGGUGAGUGCUUAUCGGUGGAAUGUAAGUAGCAAUGACUGUCACCUCCAGCCAAGGUGGUUAAAAGCGGGUAGGCCUUCUCUACACUCUUGCUUUUCCUUAAUCACCUGGCUGAAUUCAGGGGAUACAGUGGAAGACUCUGGGGCUCCUGGAGAAGGCAAAGUCUAUGCUGGAAGAACACUGAUUUCAAAUGAUUGGGUAGACUAAAACACCCCCAACCUAAUUUCACCUCCUCAGCAUACCUCCUCACUGACCUACACUGGGCUACAACAUGACCCAACAAUAAAACUUUAUUGUUUUAUGCCA